ACCAGACUCCUACGGGAGGCAGCAGUGGGGAAUAUUGCACAAUGGGGGAAACCCUGAUGCAGCGACGCCGCGUGAGCGAAGAAGUAAUUCGUUAUGUAAAGCUCUCUCAGCAGGGAAGAAAAUGACGGUACCUGAGUAAGAAGCCCCGGCUAACUACGUGCCAGCAGCCGCGGUAAUACGUAGGGGGCAAGCGUUAUCCGGAUUUACUGGGUGUAAAGGGGGCGUAGGCGGGAAAGCAAGUCAGAUGUGAAAACUCAGGGCUCAACCCUGAGCCUGCAUUUGAAACUGUUUUUCUUGAGUGCUGGAGAGGCAAUCGGAAUUCCGUGUGUAGCGGUGAAAUGCGUAGAUAUACGGAGGAACACCAGUGGCGAAGGCGGCCUGCUGGACCGUAACUGACGUUGAGGCUCGAAAGCGUGGGGAGCAAACAGGAUUAGAUACCCCAGUAUU
rnacentral:rRNA from 1 species